AUUGAACGCUGGCGGCAUGCCUUACACAUGCAAGUCGAACGGCAGCACGGACUUCGGUCUGGUGGCGAGUGGCGAACGGGUGAGUAAUACAUCGGAACGUGCCUAGUAGUGGGGGAUAACUACUCGAAAGAGUAGCUAAUACCGCAUGAGAUCUACGGAUGAAAGCAGGGGAUCGCAAGACCUUGUGCUACUAGAGCGGCCGAUGGCAGAUUAGGUAGUUGGUGGGAUAAAAGCUUACCAAGCCGACGAUCUGUAGCUGGUCUGAGAGGACGAUCAGCCACACUGGGACUGAGACACGGCCCAGACUCCUACGGGAGGCAGCAGUGGGGAAUUUUGGACAAUGGGCGCAAGCCUGAUCCAGCAAUGCCGCGUGCAGGAUGAAGGCCUUCGGGUUGUAAACUGCUUUUGUACGGAACGAAAAGCUCUGGGCUAAUACCUCGGAGUCAUGACGGUACCGUAAGAAUAAGCACCGGCUAACUACGUGCCAGCAGCCGCGGUAAUACGUAGGGUGCAAGCGUUAAUCGGAAUUACUGGGCGUAAAGCGUGCGCAGGCGGUUUUGUAAGACAGUGGUGAAAUCCCCGGGCUCAACCUGGGAACUGCCAUUGUGACUGCAAGGCUAGAGUACGGCAGAGGGGGGUGGAAUUCCGCGUGUAGCAGUGAAAUGCGUAGAUAUGCGGAGGAACACCGAUGGCGAAGGCAACCCCCUGGGCCUGUACUGACGCUCAUGCACGAAAGCGUGGGGAGCAAACAGGAUUAGAUACCCUGGUAGUCCACGCCCUAAACGAUGUCAACUGGUUGUUGGGUCUUAACUGACUCAGUAACGAAGCUAACGCGUGAAGUUGACCGCCUGGGGAGUACGGCCGCAAGGUUGAAACUCAA
rnacentral:rRNA from 1 species